GGCUGUAUAGCCUAAUUCAAGGCACCUGAAUUGCAAUCAGAUCAUGUGUAGUUACACUACAGCCA
rnacentral:tRNA from 1 species